rnacentral:lncRNA from 1 species
CUCUUUUGUCUUUUCUGUCCACUUUUCCAAGAUUAUGAGUUGUGACCAUGGAUCAAAGUACAACAUAGCAUUUACUUUUCAGUUGCCUGGGCUUAUUGGGGCUAAUUUUCUAUUCUCGUUUUGGAACAUAGUUGGAUGAGGAAUUAAUUAGAUGGAAGGGAGAUUUUGACAGUUGGAAUUUCAUCUUUGCUUUUGUUUAACAUCUAUCAUGGGUAGUGCUCAGGGAGGAGCAUGUGAGGGUGAGAUACUAAAAAAUAUAUAUAUGUAUAUGUGUGUGUGUAUAUAUACAUAUAUAUAUACACACACACCAGAAAAGAAGUGGAAAAUAGAAAAUUCAGUUAUGUCCUAAGUCCUUAGCAUUACAGGAAAAUGACAGCAUAAAACCUGAAAUAAAACUACACCAGGUACCUCAAUUUGUAGAAGUCUUAUAAGAAAAAAAUAAAUAAGAGACUCACUUGGAGGUUUUUUUUUUAACUGUUUUGCUUAGUGUACACAUCUGAUUCUUCAUGAGACACGGAUGACUAAAAUUCCAUCUCAUCUAGGAAGCCUUUCUCCUCCUCUAGUCAUAUUUCAUCAUUCCAUUUAUGGCACUCCUAUUUAUUGCAUGGAAUCUUACAUGAAAUUUCAACUAAGAGCGUGGAUCAUUUUCUUUUUGAUAAUUUAAUAAUUUCAAUCUUCUGUUUCAUUUUAAAGGAGUAGGUUGCAUCUACUGAAAUUUGAAGUUUAUAGUUAGAGCUACUAAUGUUAGUUUGGGUUAGAAGCCAUGUUAGAAUCCAUACUGUGAGAGAGUACUAAAAUUUUACAUUACAAUCCUGAAUUCAUUUUGAAGUGAUCAUCAUCAUUGUCUUCCUUAUCAGACAUUAAUUGUUCUGUUGUCUGAAAAGAGAUUUGGAUACAAAAGUGAGGGAAAAACAGGGCAUAAGGAAUAAUUAUAUUUAGAUUAUUUUAAACUCAAAGGAAUUGAACUCCAUCUAUCCCAUAGUGGAAAUUCUGUCACUUAUAUAGCAGGAUAGAGUGAAGAGUUCCAUGUACUUGGAAAGUCAAAAAAAAAAGUUCAAGGAGAAUCUGGGACUUUAAGGAUGGGCAGAGUUUUAGAAAGAAGUGCAAAUCUGAGCAUAAGGAAAAAAGUUACAUAAUUUAUUAAAUAACUGACAAUUCUGAGACAAUAAAAUAAAACGGAUAGGUACAUUUGGGAUGCUGGUCAUGGGAGUGUAUUAAAUGUGCCAAACUAAAUUAAGACCACUAAACCUGUUUUAUAUGGAAAAGUACUGUGACUAUUGUGUACCAUAAAAAAAAGGUUUGAUCAUGUAAAACUUAUAGCUCUCAUGUUUGCAUAUAUUCAAUGUUUCUGUGUCUAUUUUAGGCAAAUAUAUGGAUCUGUUGUACAAAAUUUCUAUUAGCGUCUGAAAUUUGUUGGGAAAUAAUCUACAUGAAAAGAAAAUAAGGAAGAAUCUUAAAAAUCUUCCAGAGCUUUCUGUUGAGUUUUACUGCCCCCUUCUGCUGCUUGAAAUUUUGUCAACUUUUUUCCUAAGAUGCUAGGAAGAUUGCCAGACAGAUUUUGUGUUUAAUUUUAUAAUGUUCUAAACAUUCACAUGUUGCACUGUUCAUUUCAGAUUUGUUUCAUGAAUAUGUUGAAAAGAAAUGAAAUAUUUAUUAAUUGAAGUGAUAAGCCAUUCAUGUGAGUUAAAAGAAAAUGAACAAUAAAGACUCUUAAUGUCCAAAAUUCCAAAUAAACUAACUUUUUUUUCCCUUCCUUGUA